UUGCACUGUAUAGUAUCCCUAUGGACUGUCUGUGGACAUUGGGGUCCUUUUCAGUGCCAGAUUAUAGAGCCCGCUAACCUCUUGUGGCUGGGUACACAU